UAGAGUUUGAUCCUGGCUCAGGACGAACGCUGGCGGCGUGCCUAACACAUGCAAGUCGAGCGGGGAACUAACGAUGAAGUUUUCGGAUGGAUUCGUUAGUUUCUAGCGGCGGACGGGUGAGUAACGCGUGAGCAACCUGCCUAUCACUGGGGAAUAACGCAUCGAAAGGUGUGCUAAUACCGCAUGAGACCACAUUGGGACAUCCCGAAGGGGUCAAAGAUUUUAUCGGUGAUAGAUGGGCUCGCGUCUGAUUAGCUGGUUGGUGAGGUAACGGCCCACCAAGGCGACGAUCAGUAGCCGACCUGAGAGGGUGAUCGGCCACAUUGGAACUGAGAAACGGUCCAAACUCCUACGGGAGGCAGCAGUGGGGAAUAUUGGGCAAUGGGCGCAAGCCUGACCCAGCAACGCCGCGUGAAGGAAGAAGGUCUUCGGAUCGUAAACUUCUAUCCUUGGUGAAGAUAAUGACGGUAGCCGAGAAGGAAGCCCCGGCUAACUACGUGCCAGCAGUCGCGGUAAUACGUAGGGGGCAAGCGUUGUCCGGAAUGAUUGGGCGUAAAGGCGCGUAGCGGCCCGUUAAGUCUGGAGUGAAAGUCCU
rnacentral:rRNA from 1 species